AGCAGCCGCGGUAAUUCCAGCUCCAAUAGCGUAUAUUAAAGUUGUUGCAGUUAAAAAGCUCGUAGUUGAAUUUCGGGGUUAGCAGGUCGGUCGUGCCAUUGGUAUGAACUGGUCUCGCUGAUCCCUCCCUCUUGACGAACUGUGAUGCCAUUAAUUUGGUGUCGCAGGGAAUCAGGACCGUUACUUUGAAAAAUUAGAGUGUUUAAAGCAGGCUCACGCUUGAAUACAUUAGCAUGGAAUAAUGAAAUAGGACGUUUGAUCCUAUUUUGUUGGCUUCUAGGAUUGACGUAAUGAUUAAUAGGGAUAGUUGGGGGCAUUAGUAUUCAAUUGUCAGAGGUGAAAUUCUUGGAUUUAUUGAAGACUAACUACUGCGAAAGCAUUUGCCAAGGAUGUUUUCAUUAAUCAAGAACGAAAGUUAGGGGAUCGAAGACGAUCAGAUACCGUCGUAGUCUUAACCAUAAACUAUGCCGACUAGGGAUCGGAUGAUGUUAAUUUUUAAUGACUCAUUCC
rnacentral:misc_RNA from 1 species